ensembl:snRNA U6 U6 spliceosomal RNA
GUGCACCCUUUGGCAGCACAUAUACUAAGAUUGGAAUGAUACAGAGAAGAUUAGCAUGGCCUCUGCACAAGGAUGACAUGCAAAUUCAUCUCUACCUCACACCAUAC